rnacentral:rRNA from 1 species
UACGGGGGGGGCAAGCGUUGUUCGGAAUUACUGGGCGUAAAGGGUUCGUAGGUGGCCCGCUAAGUCAGACGUGAAAUCCCUCAGCUCAACUGGGGAACUGCGUCUGAUACUGGUGGGCUUGAGUGCAGGAGAGGAACGCGGAAUUCCAGGUGUAGCGGUGAAAUGCGUAGAUAUCAGGAGGAACACCGAUGGCGAAGGCAGGUCUCUGGGCCGAUACUGACGCUGAGGAGCGAAAGCGUGGGGAGCGAACAGG